GGAUAACCUACCCUUAGGACUGGGAUAACCCUGGGAAACUGGGGAUAAUACUGGAUAGGCAAUUAUUCCUGUAAUGGUUUUUUGUUUAAAUGUUUUUUCGCCUAAGGAUGGGUCUGCGGCCGAUUAGGUAGUUGGUUAGGUAAUGGCUUACCAAGCCUUUGAUCGGUACGGGUUGUGAGAGCAAGAGCCCGGAGAUGGAACCUGAGACAAGGUUCCAGGCCCUACGGGGUGCAGCAGGCGCGAAACCUCCGCAAUGUGAGAAAUCGCGACGGGGGGAUUCCAAGUGCCAUUCUUAACGGGAUGGCUUUUCAUUAGUGUAAAGAGCUUUUGGAAUAAGAGCUGGGCAAGACCGGUGCCAGCCGCCGCGGUAACACCGGCAGCUCUAGUGGUAGCAGUUUUUAUUGGGCCUAAAGCGUCCGUAGCCGGUUUAAUAAGUCUCUGGUGAAAUCCUGCGGCUUAACUGUGGGAAUUGCUGGAGAUACUAUUAGACUUGAGAUCGGGAGAGGUUAGAGGUACUCCCAGGGUAGAGGUGAAAUUCUGUAAUCCUGGGAGGACCGCCUGUUGCGAAGGCGUCUGACUGGAACGAUUCUGACGGUGAGGGACGAAAGCUAGGGGCGCGAACCGGAUUAGAUACCCGGGUAGUCCUAGCUGUAAACGAUGCGGACUUGGUGUUGGGGUGGCUUUGAGCUGUCCCAGUGCCGAAGAGAAGCUGUUAAGUCCGCCGCCUGGGAAGUACGGUCGCAAGACUGAAACUUAA
rnacentral:rRNA from 1 species